rnacentral:antisense_RNA from 1 species
CCUUAAAAAAAAAACCUUCUGACACUGCAGUAGUGAAAAUGAAGUGCACGAUGGGCGGAAGCUAGGAAGACACUUAAAGAUGAAGUGCUUAAUUCAAGGUCACAGAAUGUCGGGGAUGGACCUCCAGAUUUCCUUACUGGUGAGACGUGGUCUUGUAACACAGUGGUUAAGAAUGUGACUUUGGAGCCAGCCUGCUAGGGGCUGAAUUCUGACUCAGCCAUUUAUUAACUGUGUGACCUUAGGUCAUAGAAUUUUCCACACUCCUUGACGGAGGUUCUUAACCCUUAUCCAUCAGCAUUCUCAGACAGCACCUCCGGUUAGGGACAGUAUCUGACCGUCCGACAUCCCUGCAGCCCCCAUGCUGUCACACAGACUCAGCCUCAGGUAGAUGGUUUCCGUAGAUGGUGGCUUUCUUUGGACCCUUGAUAUCAACCAGUUACUAUUUGCCAGAGACAGACUCCCAGACUUGGCCAGAGGCUGAUGCCGACCCCUUCCAGCUCU